rnacentral:rRNA from 1 species
GACGAACGCUGGCGGCGUGCUUAACACAUGCAAGUCGAACGGAAAGGCCCUGCUUUUGUGGGGUGCUCGAGUGGCGAACGGGCGAGUAACACGUGAGUAACCUGCCCUUGACUUUGGGAUAACUUCAGGAAACUGGGGCUAAUACCGGAUAGGAGCUCCUGCUGCAUGGUGGGGGUUGGAAAGUUUCGGCGGUUGGGGAUGGACUCGCGGCUUAUCAGCUUGUUGGUGGGGUAGUGGCUUACCAAGGCUUUGACGGGUAGCCGGCCUGGGAGGGUGGCCGGCCACCAUGGGACUGAGAUACGGCCCAGUCUCCUACGGGAGGCAACAGUGGGGAAUAUUGCACAAUGGGCGGAAGCCUGAUGCAGAAACGCCGCGUGCGGGAUGACGGCCUUCGGGUUGUAAACCGCUUUCGCCUGUGACGAAGCGUGAGUGACGGUAAUGGGUAAAGAAGCACCGGCUAACUACGUG